rnacentral:rRNA from 1 species
CUUUGGCGGCGAGCGGCGGACGGCUGAGUAACGCGUGGGAACAUACCCAAAGUGAGGGAUAACUGCCCGAAAGGGUAGCUAAUACCGCAUAUGGUCUUCGGAUUAAAGGAUUUAUCCGCUUUGGGAGUGGCCCGCGUCGGAUUAGGUAGUUGGUGAGGUAAUGGCUCACCAAGCCGACGAUCCGUAGCUGGUCUGAGAGGAUGAUCAGCCAGACUGGGACUGAGACACGGCCCAG